UGGGCGCUGUAGCAUUGCUCCAAUUCAAUU
rnacentral:piRNA from 1 species